rnacentral:rRNA from 1 species
CCUACGGGAGGCAGCAGUGGGGAAUAUUGCGCAAUGGGCGAAAGCCUGACGCAGCGACGCCGCGUGAGGGAUGAAGGCCUUCGGGUUGUAAACCUCUUUCAGCAGGGACGAAGCGAAAGUGACGGUACCUGCAGAAGAAGCACCGGCUAACUACGUGCCAGCAGCCGCGGUAAUACGUAGGGUGCAAGCAUUGUCCGGAUUUAUUGGGCGUAAAGAGCUCGUAGGCGGCUUGUCACGUCGGGUGUGAAAACUCGGGGCUCAACCCCGAGCCUGCACUCGAUACGGGCUAGCUAGAGUAUUGCAGGGGAGACUGGAAUUCCUGGUGUAGCGGUGAAAUGCGCAGAUAUCAGGAGGAACACCGGUGGCGAAGGCGGGUCUCUGGGCAAUUACUGACGCUGAGGAGCGAAAGCGUGGGGAGCGAACAGGAUUAGAUACCCUGGUAGUCCACGCCGUAAACGGUGGGCGCUAGGUGUGGGGAACCUUCCACGUUCUCUGUGCCGCAGCUAACGCNUAGCGCCCGCCGUCGGGAGGACGGCCGCGACGACGAAACUACAAGAAGUAGACGGCGUGAGACGUGCCGACGGACGACCGACGAGGGAGGUAGG